GAGACAGGAAACAGAGAAUUGGUUGGUGGCUUUUCUUUUAUCCUUUUGUGGGUUGGUGCAAAAGGGCUUGUUUGUACAGGCAAGGCAAACAAAGGGGAACUCUGGACUAAAGUGUGGGUGACAGGUGCUGGAAACAUGUACUAGCAGCCUGGCUGCUUCAGGCUAUAGAAUCACCUGUAGAAUAGCUCUGCUGGAGAAACAAGAGUAACCAAGGACAGCAGUGAAACUGAAGUAACUCAGUCAAGGUGGCCGGUAGCCGUUAAACCAACACUCAUUUCCUUCUGGUGACUCGGGGCCCAACCUUGCAAAGCCUUAGGUUUGGAGAGCUGAACCGCCGGAAUGAAGAUGAAGCAGCUGGGAAUGGUGUGCUGUGCAAAUCAUCUUAACAAACCAAUUCUAAUUUGUAGCUGUUGCUUUCCACGUUUUUCUGUAACCUGAACCAUGAAAUGAAUCUUCAUAAAGUUUUUCACAAGCUGAAAAUUUACAGAAUUUAUACUAGUUAGACAAGGGGCCACUACAUUUCUUAUCACCUUUUAAAACAAGUUAGGAGUCACUAGGUGAAUUUUUGUGUUCACAAAGAUGAAGGAUUAUAGCUCCUGGCCAAUCAGCUAUAGAAUAGUCAAGCAGGUCACAAAAUUUCCCCGUGGAGAUCUGCUAAUGUACCUCAAUCUUGAUCUGACACUCCUCUGCUGUACAUGCCAUGGACUGCUCCCACACACUGGCUCCAUCCAGACCUAAUGUGCCACCGACUAUUCUGGUUCUGAGCUUCUGAUCAGAGAUC